rnacentral:tRNA from 1 species
GGGAGGUUGCCCGAGUGGUUAAAGGGGGCGGACUGUAAAUCCGCUGCUUCGGCUACAUAGGUUCGAAUCCUAUACCUCCCA